CAACGCUGGCGGCGUGCUUGAUACAUGCAAGUCGAACGGACUGGCAGCUCGUCACUGGUCGCUCGUCGCUCGUGGAAACGGAGUACGAACAAACGUAAGACCAGCCCACGAGAAAAUUGGAGUCGAUGUUUUCGGUCUCCGAGCGACGAGAAACGAGUGACGAGCUGCGAGUUAGUGGCGGACGGGUGAGUAACGCGUGGGUAAUCUGCCCUCAGGUCCGGGAUAACGGCGCGAAAGCGCCGCUAAGACCGGAUGAACUUGCGGGGUGGCAUCAUCCUGCAAGCAAAGGAGACGCCUGGGGAUGAGCCCGCGUCCCAUUAGCUAGUUGGCGGGGUAACGGCCCACCAAGGCGACGAUGGGUAGCCGGACUGAGAGGUUGGCCGGCCACACUGGGACUGAGACACGGCCUAGACUCCUACGGGAGGCAGCAGUAGGGAAUUUUCGGCAAUGGGGGAAACCCUGACCGAGCGACGCCGCGUGAGGGACGAAGGCCUUCGGGUUGUAAACCUCUGUCUAGGGGGACGAUAAUGACGGUACCCCUGGAGGAAGCCACGGCUAACUACGUGCCAGCAGCCGCGGUAAGACGUAGGUGGCGAGCGUUGUCCGGAAUUACUGGGCGUAAAGGGCGUGUAGGCGGNCUUUCAAGUCAGGCGUGAAAUUCCUGGGCUCAACCAGGGACUGCGUUUGANACUGAGGGGCUUGAGGACAGGAAAGGGAANCNGAACUCCCUGUGUAGCGGUGAAAUGCGUANAUAUACGGAANAACCCCANUGGGNAAAGNGGCUUUCCUGGACUGUCCCUGACNCUUAGGNCCCAAANCCAGGGGAACGAACGG
rnacentral:rRNA from 1 species